rnacentral:rRNA from 1 species
GGACAGCGGCGUAAGGGACAGUAAAGUGUAGAUUAUCUGCCCUCGGGACCGGGAUAGCUGCGGGAAACUGCAGGUAAUACCGGAUAACAUCUCCGGAUCAAAGGUGUGAUUCCGCCCGAGGAUGAGUCUGCAUCCUAUUAGCUAGUUGGCAGGGUAAUGGCCUACCAAGGCUUUGAUGGGUAGCGGGUGUGAGAGCACGACCCGCGUCAUUGGGACUGAGACACUGCCCAGACACCUACGGGUGGCUGCAGUCGAGAAUCUUCGGCAAUGGGCGCAAGCCUGACCGAGCGACGCCGCGUGUGGGAUGAAGGCCUUCGGGUUGUAAACCACUGUUAGAGGGGAUGAAAUGCAGGUGGGUUCUCCCAUCUGUUUGACAUAGCCUCAGAGGAAGGACGGGCUAAGUUCGUGCCAGCAGCCGCGGUAAGACGAACCGUCCAAACGUUAUUCGGAAUCACUGGGCUUAAAGGGUGCGUAGGCGGCGCGGCAAGUUGGGUGUGAAAUACCUCGGCUCAACCGAGGAACUGCGCCCAAAACUGCCGUGCUCGAGGAAGAUAGAGGUGAGCGGAACUUAGGGUGGAGCGGUGAAAUGCGUUGAUAUCCUAAGGGAACACCGGUGGCGAAAGCGGCUCACUGGAUCUUUUUCUGACGCUGAGGGCACGAAAGCUAGGGUAGCGAACGGGAUUAGAUACCCCCGGGUAGUCCUAGCCGUAAACGAUGAGCACUGGAUUGCAGGGUCCUCCAUAGCCCUUCCAGUCGCAACGAAAGCGUUAAGUGCUCCGCCUGGGGAGU